AGAGCAAGACUCCGUCUCAAAAAAAAAAAGAAAAGAAAAAAAAAAAGAUCUGAUAGUUGAAAGGUGUGUGGUGGUCUCCCCCCUGCCCUCUGCCACCUCUCCUGCUGCAAUGUAAGACGUGCCCUGCUUCCCAUUUCACCAUGAUUGUAAGUUUCCUGAGGCAUCCCCACCCAUGUGAAACUGUGAGUCAAUUAAAGCUUUUUUUUUUUUUUUCCAGAGUCUCCCUCUGUCGCCCAGGCUGGAGCGGAGUGGCGUGAUCUCGGCUCACUGCAACCUCCGCCCCCGGGUUUAAGCAAUUCUCCUGCCUCAGCCUCCAGAGGAGCUGUGAUUACACAUGCUUGCCACCACGCCCGGCUAAUUUUUGUAUUUUCAGUAGAGAUGGGGUUUCACCACGUUAGCCAGGCUGGUCUCGAACUCCUGACCUCGUGAUCAGCCCAACUCGGCCUCCCGAAUUGCUAGGAUUAUAGGCGUGAGCCACCACACCCUACCAAGCUUUUUCCUUUAUAAAUUACCCAGUCACAGGUAGUUAUUAUUUUUUUUUUUUUGAGACAGAGUCUUGCUCUGUUGCCCAGGCUGGAGUGCCAUGGUGUGAUCUCAGCUACUGCAACCUCGGCUUCCUAGAUUCAAGCCAUUCUCCUGCCUCAGCUUCCCAAGUAGCUAGGAUUACAAGCAUGCGCCACCACGCCCAGCUAAUUUUUGUAUAUUUAGUAGAGAUGGAGUUUCAUUCACCAUGUUGGCCAGAUUGGUGUUGAACUGACCUCAGGUGAUCCACCCACCUUGACCUCCCAAACUGCUGGGAUCAUAGGCAUGAGCCACUGCACUCAGCCUCACGUAGUUCUUUGUUGUUGUUGUUUUGUUGCUGUUGUUGUUUUUUCAGACGAAGUCUCACUCUUGUCCCCCAAGCUGGAGUACAAUGGCGCGAUCUCGGCUCACUGCAACCUCCGCCUCCCGGGUUCAAGCAAUUCUCCUGCCUCAGCCUCCCGAGUAGCUGGGAUUAUAGGCGCCUGCCACCAUGCCCGGCUAAUUUUUGUAUUUUAAGUAGAGACGGGGGUUUCACCAUUUUGGCCAGGCUGGUCUCGAACUCCUGACCUCAGGUGAUCCGCCCGCCUCGGCCUCCCAAAGUGCUGGGAUUACAAGUGUGAGCCACCGUGCCCGGCCGGCCUCAGGUAGUUCUUUAUAGCAGUGUGAAAAUGGAGUAAUAGAGAGCUGAGGCAGGAGGAUCACCUGAGGCCAGGAGGUGAGGCUGCAUGAGCUGUGACUGCACCACUGCACUCCAGCCUGGGUGACAAAGUGAGACCCUAUCUCAAAAAAACAAAACAAAAGACAUAUUUAUUUUAAAAAUAAAUAAAUAAACUUUGUAGGACUUUGUUUAGACAUGUUUACCAUAUGACAUAUGUGUCUUUAGAACAGCGUCCAGCAUCUUGUAGAAGGACAAUCAUUACAAAGUUCAAGCACGUUCUGCUUUAAACACACCUAUUGUGCCACACUAAAAUCUGAAUUUGUGAAUAAAUGAACUAAAACAAUCAUAUUAUAAAACUACACAGGACUUUAAAGCGUCAUGUAGGAUGUGACUUUUUUAUUACAGGCUCCCAUAAUGUAUUUAGAAAUAUGACUCAGGAUCUAUCCAUGAUAACAGUCAGUAUAGGAUAAACAAGUUAGUAAUUUAUGUUUAAUAAUGUAUUCUAUUUAUUUUAUUUUAUUUUAUUUUUUGAGCUGGAGUCUCACUCUGUUGCCCAGGCUGGAGUGCAGUGGCACGAUCUCAGCUCACUGCAAGCUCCGCCUCCCGGAUUCAAGCGAUUCUCCUGCCUCAGCCUCCCGAGUAGCUGGGACUACAGAUGGAGUUUCGCUCUUGUUGCCAGGCUGGAGUACAGUGGCCUGAUCUCGGCUCACUGCAACCUCUGCCUCCUGGGUUUAAGCAAUUCUCCUGCCUUAGCUUCCUCCUGAGUAGCUUGGAUUACAGGCAUGCGUCACCAUGCCCGGCUAAUAUUGUAUUUUAAUAGAGACGGGAUUUCACCAUGUUGGCCAGGCUGGUCUCGAAGUCCUGACCUCAAGUGAUCCGCCCGCCUCAUCCUCUCAAAGUGCUGGGGUUACAGGCAUUAGCCCUCACGCCUGGCCAAAUGCAGUCUUUUCACCACCUUUUUGGAUCACAGAAAAUGACCAUGAAGCUAUGGAAAAAAGGGAGAGUUGAAUUUAAGAUUAGCUGUCAGCCCAUCUUUCAUUAGCCAUUUCUCUAAUCCAGUCUUGAAUUUUCCUCUUUCUAGUAAUAUGGAGGGUAGCACUAUGUUCAAAGCGGCCACUGGGGAUUUAGGUAUUUUAAUAUCUGUACUAUGUUUCUAGAUAAGUAAAAUAACCAGGUGAAUUUAUCAGCCCACAGUGAACCUGGGGAACAGUUUAUUGAACUAGUGCCCUUAAGUAGAGGACAUUCUCAACAUUGCUAAGUUUAUCUCCCAUUCCCUAUAUCAUGGAAUGAGAGAAAUUUGGAGAAAAAAUUUCUAUUUCCUAAUCUCAGCUUUUUUUUUUUUUUUUUUUCCGAGACAGAGUAUCGAGCUGUCGCCCAGGCUGGAGUGCAAUGGCAUGAUCUUGGCUCACUGCAACCUCUGCCUCCCGCGUUCUAAGUGAUUCUCCUUCCUCAGCCUCCCGAAUAGCUGGGAUUAUAGGCACGCACCAUCAUGCAUGGCUAAUUUUGUAUUUUUAGUAGAGAUGGGGUUUCCCCAUGUUGGCCAGGCUGGUCUCGAACUCCUGAUCUCAGGUUAUCCACCCGCCUCAGCCUCUCCAAGUGCUGGGAUUACAAGUGUGAGCCACCGCACCCCGCCCUAAUCUCAGCCUUUUUAUAUCUUCUUGGUAGGCCCACUUUUUGGCAUCCCCUAACAAGAAGUCCUCAGAGAUUUUUACUACUCAACAUGUGUGCGUCCCACUCAGAUGUAUUGUGUUCUUUCUGUUCACCCUCUACUUCCCAUUCCAUUUCUUCCUCUGACUUAGGGUUAGAAUGGCCCAAUGAUCCUACAACUUUUUGAUGCUAUUUCAUUUGAUUCCUCUACUGUCUAAAUCACAAGUUGGCUAACUUUACUUACUGUAAGGGAUCAGAUAGCAAAUAGUUUAGGCCUUGUGGGCCAUUCAAUCUGUCAUAACUACCCACUCUGACCAUAUGUAGUGCAAAAGCAGCCCUUGACAAUAUAUAAAUGAAUGAACGUGAAUGUAUUUCAAUAAAGCUUUACUUGUGGACACUGAAA